rnacentral:rRNA from 1 species
UGGGGAAUAUUGCACAAUGGGCGCAAGCCUGAUGCAGCCAUGCCGCGUGUAUGAAGAAGGCCUUCGGGUUGUAAAGUACUUUCAGCGGGGAGGAAGGUGUUGUGGUUAAUAACCACAGCAAUUGACGUUACCCGCAGAAGAAGCACCGGCUAACUCCGUGCCAGCAGCCGCGGUAAUACGGAGGGUGCAAGCGUUAAUUGGAAUUACUGGGCGUAAAGCGCACGCAGGCGGUCUGUCAAGUCGGAUGUGAAAUCCCCGGGCUCAACCUGGGAACUGCAUCCGAAACUGGCAGGCUUGAGUCUUGUAGAGGGGGGUAGAAUUCCAGGUGUAGCGGUGAAAUGCGUAGAGAUCUGGAGGAAUACCGGUGGCGAAGGCGGCCCCCUGGACAAAGACUGACGCUCAGGUGCGAAAGCGUGGGGAGCAAACA